rnacentral:lncRNA from 1 species
GGUUACCCCAGAGUUCUAUGGUGGCAGGGGGCGCCGAGUAGAGGGGCGGGAGGAGCUGGGUCCUCGGGAACCAAAGGGGACCUCAGCGGGGGCGGAGUGCGCAGCCUUGGCUGCUGGGAAAUGCCCAACUAGCCGCUGUGAGUGCCCACAGCGCGUCGUGGGGGCGUCCGUUCUGCAGCUCGAGUGACUCAGACGGCCUGCCAACCCCACCAGCUCCGGCUUCUCGAACGCUCUUCUGAUCGCCCAGCGGGGAGACUUCAGGGACUGCCUCGUCAGGCCAGAUUGCAGCCCGCGACCUUCCCGGAUCAACCAAGGGCGAGGCCUGUUGCCCAGCAAGGCUGCCGCCUAACUGAGCCUCCCGGGGAACAGCCAUGACCAAAGCCCCGCGGGCCCAGGCGCGGGCACCUACCCCUACCCGCUCAGGCCUGUGGGAGCGCAGGGGCAGAGGCCGAGACGCUGGACUUCCAGCCCCACACCUCUGACAACCCGGGCACGUCUGCGGAGCCCGGGGGAACAAUCAGCGGGCUCUGCGUCCCGGGAGCUGGGGACACGCCUGCAAGGGCUUUCUGCCUGCACACAGUCAUUUGGAGAAAAUCAAGGGUGUCAGGAUGAUGCAAAUGGAGGUGGAAGCUUCAUUCCCUGGGGGCUUUUAUUCCCCUCCUUGAAGCCCCAGUUCAAGGCCCAGGAACAAAGGGGAAAGGUAACUGAUCUCUCUUUUGGUCUUUCUCUCCCCUCACUUCCACCCCUUCACCUGCAGGCCCUCCUCUUUGAUAAAUAGAGGAAAGCCCGUGGGAUCAGGUACAUAUGUAAAUACUGCUGACCUCGGCCGCCCCUCCUCACCGAAAAGCAGAAAGCCCGUUUCAGGUGCAGGCUGCUCCGUGCCUUUGAGUGUCCACCACUUCUAUUCCCCCAGACUGCUUGGGACUCAAGGCCACUCACUUAAUAUCCGUCUCUUGUUAAAAACAUUCAGGACAACUAUUAAAUAGUUAUUGGAAGAGUUAAAGACCUUCUUUCAGGAGUGAAACGUUUUUAAAGCUGUGCUUGGCCUAAGUCUUUAAGGCGUACAAAGUAGAAUCAGUAGACUUGCCUGA